UACGUAGGGUCCGAGCGUUGUCCGGAAUUACUGGGCGUAAAGAGCUCGUAGGUGGUUUGUCGCGUUGUUCGUGAAAACUCACAGCUCAACUGUGGGCGUGCGGGCGAUACGGGGCAGACUAGAGUACUGCAGGGGAGACUGGAAUUCCUGGUGUAGCGGUGGAAUGCGCAGAUAUCAGGAGGAACACCGGUGGCGAAGGCGGGUCUCUGGGCAGUACUGACGCUGGAGGAGCGAAAGCCGUGGGGAGCGAACAGG
rnacentral:rRNA from 1 species